rnacentral:rRNA from 1 species
CCUACGGGGUGCAGCAGUGGGGAAUAUUGCACAAUGGGGGAAACCCUGAUGCAGCAACGCCGCGUGAGUGAAGCAGUAUUUCGGUAUGUAAAGCUCUAUCAGCAGGGAAGAAAAUGACAGUACCUGACUAAUAAGCCCCGGCUAACUACGUGCCAGCAGCCGCGGUCAUACGUAGGGGGCAAGCGGUAUCCGGUUGUACUGGGUGUAAAGGGAGCGUAGACGGCUGCGCAAGUCAGAAGUGAAAGCCCGGGGCUCAACCGCGGAACUGCUUUUGAAACUGGAUCGCUAGAGUGCAGGAGAGGUAAGUAGAAGUCCAGGUGUAGCGGGGAAAUGCGUAGAUAUUAGGAGGAACACCGGUGGCGAAGGCGGCUUACUGGACUGUAACUGACGUUGAGGUUCGAAAGCGUGGGGAGCAAACAGGAUUAGAUACCCGUGUAGUC